AUUAUAUACAGAGCAAAUCUUCACGUCAUAUCCAUUUAGAGCUGUCUAUAGUUGGGUCAACUGGAGUAGUGUCUCCUGCCAAGAGGUUUGUCGACCUUAAACGCCGAGUCACCCGAACUACGAACACGAUGAGACUCUUUUUAGACGACUACGAGAGCUCACACUGAGCGCAGAGGAGGGGACCCAACUUUUGUGUGCUGAUUAGUAGCAACUAACGAAAGCUACUAAUUCCGUCCAUGUCUGAUGGCCCCUCAACUUAAGAGCUUGUCCGUAGCGCGGGAAGAAGCAGCAAGUCACUAUACAAGCAGCCUAUUAUUCCCGUUUUACACACGAGCAUCGUUUACGGCGUGUAGUUGCAUUGAAAACAAAAACGCCGCAUAAAUCAAUUUGUAGGUGAAGGACAAACAAGGAAGCCCGUCAUGAAAUCAAAGUGACUUUGUGUAAUUUCUGUGAAACACUAAACACUGUUAAGCGUCGAACUUCGGGACAUUACACACGUGCCGCAGGAAUGAAUUCGGGCAGGAGCGGCCGUCUCCGUAUUCAGGAAAAGAGAUACGAGCACAAGCACAGCGACAGCGCCCAAUUACUGGCAGAAGGAGACCUGGUUAUCAAUAAAAUUGUUUACGACUAAAUUGAUCGUCGGAAAUGCUGACUCUAGCCCGCACCUGUGUCCUCAGUGGCACCUAACAGUUGAGACUAGCAUGUAUGUCUUACGUUUUCGUCUCCGAUAGCUACAGCGAAUCGUUCCCAAGAUUGCAAACCAAAUGGUUAUAAAGCUAAAUAAGUACAAAUGGCAUUUUUAUUCUAUUUUUCUAACUGUUGAAAUAAUCUGAGGUUUUCCUAGGGACCAGAUCAUUUUCAAAAAAUCGGGAGUUAUUACCCAGAACGCAAUGAACAAUAAUUCGCGUGAUAUGUUAGUCAGCCAUAACGUGAGCUGAAACUGCGAACUCGAAUGGCUUUCAAACCAACCAAAGUUCCUGAAGUCAGCUUGGGGUCCAGCCCGAUACGUCCCUGCCCAUCACAGGCGCUAAACAGCGAUUAAAUAUUGUAGAGUCACAUAGCACUGCUUGGUUAUACUCUAGAGAGAGUGUAACCCAGCAGUGACGUACACAUAAAUACCGAACUGAGCACCAUGUUUCACCGUUUUAUUCUAUUUUAGCUUGUUUGGUACACUAAUGUCAAUAGAUAGCCAGUAGUAUGUUUUUGCU